UAGGGAAUCUUCGGCAAUGGGGGGAACCCUGACCGAGCAACGCCGCGUGAGUGAAGAAGGUUUUCGGAUCGUAAAGCUCUGUUGUUAAGGAAGAACGAGUGUGAGAAUGGAAAGUUCAUACUGUGACGGUACUUAACCAGAAAGGGACGGCUAACUACGUGCCAGCAGCCGCGGUAAUACGUAGGUCCCGAGCGUUGUCCGGAUUUAUUGGGCGUAAAGCGAGCGCAGGCGGUUAGAAAAGUCUGAAGUGAAAGGCAGUGGCUCAACCAUUGUAGGCUUUGGAAACUGUUUAACUUGAGUGCAGAAGGGGAGAGUGGAAUUCCAUGUGUAGCGGUGAAAUGCGUAGAUAUAUGGAGGAACACCGGUGGCGAAAGCGGCUCUCUGGUCUGUAACUGACGCUGAGGCUCGAAAGCGUGGGGAGCAAACAGGAUUAGAUACCCUGGUAGUCCACGCCGUAAACGAUGAGUGCUAGGUGUUGGGUCCUUUCCGGGACUCAGUGCCGCAGCUAACGCAUUAAGCACUCCGCCUGGGGAGUACGACCGCAAGGUUG
rnacentral:rRNA from 1 species